UGUGGAAAAGCCAACUCCAGCUCCUUCAGCUCCUUCAGCUCCUUCAGCAAGCUGUGCUCAAAACUGUUGCACUCCCCAGUUUCGUCCAAUGUACUGUGAACUGGUUUGUGAAUAUCCAGAACCAACCACUUGCUCCAUAAUGUAAUUGCGUAAGACAUGAAUUAGUUGAACUUGAUUAUGAUCAUUUUCAUUUUCUCUUUUCCCUUGUAGAUGCAUGGAUCUAAAGUUCAUAAGAAAUAUUUUUAUAUCAAUUGCUUCUCUCUUUGAAAUUUUGUUUGUGUUUCUGCUUGUGCCUUUUUCAUGUGUUUCCUAACCCAUAUGGAAUUGCUCAGGUGCUACGAAACACUUCUGAUCAUAAGUGCUUUUAUCAGAAACACUUUUAUCACAAACAUAACAAGUUUGCAAUCCAAAGAGACCAUCAUUUAUAUGAGUUGCCUUUAAUUAUGUACUUGUACUGAUCCAUACUAAUUUUCGACCAAGAAAUGGGUGAAAGUAGGAUUAUAUAGCAGCAUGUGUGGAUGCAUGGUUAAUCAGGGUGUCAACACACUUAAACUAUCUCUAUUUCUUGAUUUCUCUGCAAAAUGGGUCCUGUCCACCUAAGCUUUCUCCGCGUGUGGCUGGCUGUUAACCACAAGGUCGAAGUUUCAACCAAUCUUCUAGGGGUGCGUUUCUUUUAUUUUUCCAUAAAAAAUGAGUUAUUCCAUUGAUGAAGCAUCAAAAAUACAAUCUAGUCUGUUGUGGGUGUUGUCUAACUUUACGAGUGAUAUGGACUCGCUUGUUGCGGUGACUUUUGUGGGCUUGAGUAUAGAUCAGUGGUGGCUGAGCAGGCCAUCCACUUUAUUUAAUGAAUACGCAAGAUUCUUUUUAAAUUAAGAAAUUGAUCAUUGGAGAUGAUGCACCCAUAUUAUUGUUUUGUUUCAUCAUCAAACUAGGAAAAGAAAAAGGAUAGGGAAGAUCACAGAAUUGAACUUUUUACUUGCCACAUCAAAUAGUGAAUCAUUGUAGUCUAAAACUGUCUAAGUGGUCUAGUGGUUGGAGACGAAUUUUAGACACAUAUUCUACACGGCAUAUGUCCUGGGUUCGAUUCUUGGAGCUGGGUGAAUCACAAGAUGGUGGCCAGGGGAGACUAAAAUGCUUAUAUAAGUCUUCUUGGCCCCCGAAAGAGUAGAAUAUUGUGACAAAGCCACCGGCUAGUCAUCUUUUUAAAAAAUGAAAUAAAACUAUCGUUUCUCUAACAUUUUUCUAUUAUAAAAUAAUAAACUUUUUUUUUUGAACCGGGUAAAAGUUUAAACUUAAUUUCAAAUUCGACUUUCAAUUUGCGUAACAUUGUUCUCCCUCUACGUACUUUGAAGGGAAUUUAUCGAAAGAUGACCAAAUUAAUCUACACCAUGUACUACUCUUGUAGCAAUAGUUCAAUCAUGGCCAUGUACUACUCCCCGGCAAUUGUUCAAUCAUGCCCCCCCCCCCCCGGCGCGGAAAUAGUUCAAUCAUGGCCAUGCACUACUCUUGUGGUCUUCAAUCAUGGCCAUGCACUAGUCUUGUGGUCUCCCCCCCUCCCUAUGACCCCAACUCAAUAACAAAAUAGGGUGUAAUUUCACCACAAGAGUAGAAAUUAUCCAGGGGAUGAUUUCGUUUUGCUUUGAUUUUGGGACUGAAGGUUUCAUUGCGAAAAAACCAUUGGAGGCAACUUAAUUUUUAUGUACAUUACACAUACGAAAACUUUUUACUUGCCACAUCAAAUAGUAAAUCAUUGUAGUCUAAAACUGUCUAGGUGGUUCAGUGGUUGGAGACGAAUUCUAGACACGUAUUCUACACGGCAUAUGUCCUGGGUUCGAUUCCUGGAGCUAGAUGAAUCACAAGAUGGUGGCCAGGGGAGACUAAAAUGCUUAUGUAAGUCUUCUCAGCCCCUGAAAGAGUAGAAUGUUGUGGCAAAGCCACCGGCUGGUCAUCUUUUAAAAAAAUGAAAUAAAACUAUCAUUUAUCUAACAUUUUUCUAUUAUAAAAUAAUUAACUUUUUUUUGAACCGGGUAAAAGCUUAAACUUAAUUUCAAAUUCGACUUUCAAUUUGCGUGACAUUGUUCUCCCUCUACGUACUUUGAAAGGAAUUCAUCGAAAGAUGGCCAAAUUAAUCUACACCAUGUACUAGUUCAAUUAUAGCCAUGUACUACUCUUGUGGCAAUAGUUCAAUCAUGGCCAUGUGCUACUCUUGUGGCCCCCCUCGGCCAAUAGUUCAAUCAUGUCCCCCCCCUCCCAGGCAAUUGAGGGUACAGGCGUACAGCUAGCACAAUGGUGUCCCACCUCCCUCCCUUAUAUUUCCCACCCUCCAUUUUUUUUAUGUAAUUAUUUUAAAUUGUUGAUUAAAUACUUUCUUUUUUUUGUCAAAUACUUUGUUUUCAAAGAUUAAUUGAUUUCUAAACAUAUAUUUGGCACCUUUAUUUUUCUUUAAAUGCACUACAAAUUCAUAUCAUCUUUGAAAAAUUUUCCUAAAGUACUACAGAUUUGUAUCAUUUGAACUUGUAUCUUAUACCAUCAAAUUCAUCAAAGUACUAACGAUAUAAUUUGUGUAUUCUUCUACUUCUAUUUUUGCAUUUUAUCAUUCUUUUAUUAUUCAUACAAUUAUAUUUUUUUUAGGUGUAAAUAGACAUUUAUUUACAAGAUAUAUAAUAAAUUUACAUAAAUCCGCUUGGGCCCCGCCUAGCCGCCUAGGCACUAGACCCCUACCCGCCGCCCGACUAGUGUCUAACGAUUUUUAGAACCUUGUUCUUAUCAAAAUGAUUUUUGAAAUUAAAAAUCCAUCAAUUUGAUCCCUAAAAAUGGACCGCAAAUCAAUUCAAUCAUUUUGUUACAUUUUCAUUAAAUUCUCUGUUAAUAUGCUUAUGUGGCAAAUGAGUGAGUCACAUGGAUACAAUCAUAUGGUGCCACGUGGAUUAAUCAUAAAACCAAUUUUUGUACCUUAUAAGGUGGGGAUCCUACUUUUAACUCUAAAGUUAAUAUGCGCAAGUCAUGAGCACCCUGCUUUUUAAUGUUAUAUAGAAUUGUCUGUAACUAUUGAGCCCAAAGCUAAACAUGACUUUGCAUUUGACUCCAAAGUACUGAACAACUCAUAUAAGCACUAAGUCUCGAAUAUCCCUAAUCAUGAGAUGUAUAAUAUUUGUCACAAUAAAUUGAGUGAGACCUAUUUAAGAUUAAUAUUUUGUUAGUGAAUGCAAAGCCUGUUAUAAAUCUUAAUUAAGUGAUCUCUCUUUUUUUUCGGUAGAUUAAUAUAAAAUAUCGUUUGUAAUACUUUGUGUAAUAAUCAAUAAAAAAAAUGGCGUAAUUUAAAGGCUUGCACAUAUAUAUGAUGGACUUGGAUUGUCUGCCUUCCCCCAUCUCAUCCCCUCCUAUUUUUAUGGUUACGGUUAAGCCACGUCAACAUUUUAUAUUGAUUUUUUUAUAUAGAAUUAAUAAGACAAAAAGCAAUAGAAAUAUAAAAUGUUGACGUGGCUUAACCGUGACCACAUAAAUAGGAGGGUAUGGGAUGGGGAGGGCAGACAAUCCAUGUCCCUUUUUAUUGACCUCUAAAGUACUCAAGUACAAGAAACAAAAAUACCCAACAAAAAUAUAGAGUUUCCGUAGGGAAAACAAUCUAGCCUUCUGUACAAUGGUGCAGCAAAAGAUAGUUAUGAAGGUGCACUUGAGCUCUGAAAAACUCAGAACCAAGGCCUUGAAGAUUGCUGCAGUCGCUAAAGGUAUGCAAAAUAUAUGCACCGAUCUUUAAACUUAUGGCCAUCCUCAUCCACCAUCUAAAGGGAUCUUUUAGUCCAUAAAAUAUCUAAAAGCCAUCUCCAGCAAGCAGGUUAUAAGUAGGUGCACUUGAGCUCUGAAAAAACAUGUGUUGUUCUUGUUUCAGCAGCUAAUCUUUCAAGCACUAAUGUAUGGAUUAAUGUAUAAUAUUUGAGAUCCUAUUUGUUUUUUAUUGACUGAUGCUUCAACAUCAUCCACCUAAUUCAUAUCACACAUCCAUAAAUACCUGAGAACGCUUAUUCCUACCACCAUUACGUUGUCACUUUCGUAUGUUUUUUCAUUGAGAAGAAAAUGAAAGAGCAUCACGAAAAACACUAACAAUUUCAACUCUAAAACGUCACCUUAUUCCUAUAACCCACCUCAAUCAACAACAAAGGAAGAAAAAUAAUUGAUCCCUUCAAAGAUGCUUUCGUGAAAGCUAAAAGAUGUCCUACCCAUCCAAAUGAAAACGGGAUGUUAUUUUCAGUCCCAUGUGAUAUCGGCACAGUGGAGGGCAAAAAGAAGAAAUAAAUGUUAGAAAGACAGCUACAUCACAACCCAAAGAUUAAUUAAAGAAAAAAUAUCCAAAAUGUAUGUCAGAUAUUUUGAAAUUAUAAAUACAAAUCCAAAAACAAAAAAAUAACAAACAAGAAAAAGUCUUGAACAAUUGGCUAUAUGGGAUAAAUUUAAUAUGUUACUAUAAUUCUCAUCCUCUUAUGAAUAUCAUCAGCAAACUCAUAUUUUUCACUCUUACGUAGAAUACCAUAAACCUCCUUUAGCACGCCCUCAGGGUCCUCUAUCUUUAUGGGUCUCUUAGAAUCAGAGUCUUCCAGCACAGCAAAGACCUAGGAAAGAAAUUAUAAUUUGAACACUAUCAAGUUAAGCACGUUUGCAAUCAUACAGGUCAGAUUUCUUUUUUAAAAUAAUCAUUUCAAAAUGCCUUUCUUCAAGGAGAGACAAUUACAAAGAGAGAAAGAAUAAUACCUGUUUUUUAUUAAGACGGUAGCAAAAUUCGUUAUAGAGUCGUCCUCCAAGCUUUUCAUCUUUUAUAUCAACAAACACUAAAACUGGGCAGCUUGGUACAUCAACAGAAGGUUUACCAUCCAAAUCAUGUUUGAGCAAUUCAUCAUGUAUAUACAUCUCCUUCAAGAGAGGGACCUACAAUUUGAUCCGCAGUAUUCGUAUUGCAUGUAAAACUAAUUUUGGGGAACCAAAUCUUGGCAAAUAUAAGAAUCACCCUAUUUAGUUCACUUCUUCAUAAGGGGUAAUCUUAUAUAAAAGAACUUGAAACAAAUUCAAGGUACAGCAGCAUCAAAUACUCAGCAUUAGUCUACUCCACGAAAUUCAAUAUUAUAUGUAUAUAUACAAAACCCAUCAACGAAAAAGAGGGGUUUAGAAGAAUACUCAAUCUCACGAAUCUGCUCCUCAGCUUCACAGACGCGUAGAUGCCUUCAAAAUAGAGACCCAAAUCCUAGACUCAGAGAGAGAGAGAGAGAGAGAGAGAAAUAUUUAGAAAUUUUUAGACAACAACUCUCACAGAAAGACAACAAUGUUUUGGGACGACGACCCUCACAAAAAGAGAACAUCGUUUGACGGCGAGAGAGCACAAAGCAAAACGAAAACGAAAGUUAAAACAAAGGAAGAUGCAGUCAAACGAAGCGGGAAGCAACAGAGCAAAUUUCUGAGAGAACACGAACCCAUCACUGAUAUUAAAAUUAUUUUUGGGUAAAUUGGGUACGAGUGAGGGUACUGACCUUCUCCGGGCAUCUCGUGUUUGAAAUUGGAAGAGUUUAAGAUGCGAUUUUGGUGGAAAAUGGGCAGCGCUCACUAGAAGAAAAAAAGCUCAUCCAUCACGGUGAAUGCUCGUAAUAAAUUGUAAUCCACCACGGGUACUGUGCCCGUUAGUAAUCUGGAUGUGAUAAAAAGUCUUAGUUUCUACCACAGGUUAUGCCCGUUGUCAAACAUAAUGUAACCACGGAUUGUGCCCGUGAUAGAUUGGAAUUUAACAUCACGUGUUACGACCGUUGUGAAUUAUUUAUUGACCACGGUUAAUGACCGUUAUAAAAAAAUUUCCACAAAUAAAAAAAAUAUCUAUUUAAUAAAUAUAUAUUUAAAUAUUUAUAUACUAAAUAACCAACAAAAUUUCAUAUUUAUUACAAUAUAAUAAAUUACAGAAUAACCAAAACCGAAAAGGAAAUCAAUAUGAUAAUUAGGAAAAUUUAUACUAUUUAUUAACAUAAGGUUCUUUGUCAACCAAAAUUGCAGAAAAUUGUGGUAAGAAUCACUUCACUUCAAUUCAAAUAGAUUAUGAUUAAGAAUAAAUAUGUAAAACACAAAAUAAAAUAAAUGAAAUGUAAAAGGAGGGAAACCGCACGUCUCCCUUCUUCUCCCCCUUUUCUCUCUGCCUUUAUCUCCAAAUACAUAACUGCUCCACGUUUUCCUCGUCACAAUAAUGUCUCUUUUCCUGAACUCACGUAUUUUGCAACCCAAACUGCUUCCAUACUUUAUAAUGUUUAAUUCCUUUUCGAACUCUACUGAAGUAAGAAUUAAUCUGCAAGUUUCAGUUUGUAAGACAUAAAAAGUCCACCCAUUGAUGCACUUAAGUGGCUAACAUUUCAUGUAAAAUUUAGAUAACCCUAUAUUUGUUAUUUGGUAUAACUUAUGAUAUAUUGGAUCGAUGCAUGCAUACCGCCAUGGUGAUCCUUGAUUGCAGCACAAGGAAGACACAUACCUAGCACAAAGGAGGAGGCAAGCAUGCCGCCAUGGCGACCUCUGAUUGCAGGUCGGCUUCUCCAGUCAAUAGAGCCUUCCCAUUUAGUGAUGAGAUUCUGUUCUUGCCCCUACAGUAACCAUUACCAAAACUCAUGAGGUUUAGGAAAAACCAGGCAUGAGAGGAAAUAAAGUGUAAGGGAUGAAAGAAAAAAAAAGGAUAAAGAAAGAAAGAGGAAACCACCAUUUUCUAUCUUGUGAGCCUUUUUUUUUCCCAUUUGGCGAUUCAAUUUAAUUUGGAUCGGAUCCCUGGUGCCAUAGGAUUUUGAUUAGAAAUAAAAAGGAGCGACUGGAGAUUUAAAGAGUUUGUGAAAUUUUCAAAUCUCAAAGAUGUUUGAAAUUUCCCAAAAAUUCGGUGUCUCGCCUUUUCUAAAUAUUUUUCAUUAUGUGUAUGAUUAUACCACACAUUAUGUCCGUGGUUGAUAACAAAAAUGCGCUGUAGAACUAACAAUAUUGACCACGAGCAUUGUCCGUGGUGGCUUAGUAUAUUUACAACGUGCAACUUUGCGUGUGGUCAUUCACCGUUAUUUUACAACGGGCUAAGAUUUGUCUGUGAUGAAAAAUUAAUUUUUAUAACGUGCGUAUUAUGCCCGUGGUAAAAUUUUAUUUUUACAACGAGCUCAUAAAGUCCGUGGUAAAAUUGUCGUGAUAGAUGUGUUGUUUUCUUGUAGUGGCUGCAGAGAGAACAAAGCAAGUCCAUGUUUCUAUGGUAUCAAAAUUGCAGAAAUCAAACAAUGUAGAUGAGGAUUUUGAAGAUUCUGAAUCUAAGAGAAGAGAAAUUUACCUUUGGGGAAGAGUGGUGGCCGCUGCUGCUGAAACUGAAAAGAUUUUGGCAAAUAAGGCGAGAAGGAAGACAGUGGGAGUCGGCAACUCAGAAUUUCAGCCAAACAUAAAGAGAAUAUGAAGAAAGAAAUAGUUUUGUAAGAUGCUGAGAAGAAAAACAGGGAACAAUAGGGUUUUACCUGAGGACUCGAGCUGGGCUCUAAGACGUAGACCUCCCUCUCCCUUCUUCUCCCUGACAUUCCACACCCUCCCCCCUUCUCUGUCUGUAACUAAUACAGCCCAAACAAAAUGUAAUGUUUACAUGUAUAUCGCUAUUUGUAACGUUUAAAUAAAUACACAAUCAAACGUUUAAAUAAAUGGUUGCAAAUGAUCCGACUGUUAAAGAGUAAAUUCAUAAGAACUUACCAUGCACUUGAGCAUUUUUCAACAUUCCAUUAAGCACAGACAAAAUGUAAUCUACACGUAGAUGAGACAAGACAUGUUUAGGUGUUAAGCCAAAUGCAAGAAGUCAGACAAGUGAAGAAAUAAGAACCUUGACAGCUCAUCAUUUCUUAUACUUUGGACUCAGCGUUGGAAAUUUGUCUACCAGGCAUAACAUCUGAAACAUUAUUUAUUCAUAUGAAUGUGAGAAUGAUUACUUUCAAUGGCAUUCCAUCUAGAAAUGUAAAGGGGUAAUUUAAUUCAUCUAUACUUCACCGUGUUCAUGACUUGCAAAUUUUCUAAACAACACAAUAAAUAACAGAGAUUAGGGAGAGUUGAAUCAAAGGAAUCAGUAGUGUAAAACUGACAACAUGCUUACAAAUUCAACUCCAGUUGUGCUGAUGUAGCUAUCCAAGUAUGAAUCAUCCUGUUCAACGAUUCCGAAGCACAGAAAAAAAUUGCAUGAGAAAAUUGAGAUCAUAUGCAAUUGUAUGUCAAAUAACCUGAAAUAUAACAUAUAUCCAAUAUUAAGUGCAUACACGUACAAACUAAUCUUUAUAUAUACUUUAAAAUAAUACAAAUCAAGGGAAUCUAAAACAUUGGAAACAUUAUCAUACAAUUAAAUAAUCACGAUGCAGAAAAUUUUAUUUGCAUUAUUUUCAGAUAACUUUUCACCCCACAACACUAAGACAGAAAGCAUACCCAAACCAAUAGUGGCGUUCCAACCACUGCGAUUUCACAAACUUCUCAAUGGAGGAAGAAAAACACAAAAUACACUACUUGAUCACUUGUGGUUGAGCUUUUAUCGCUCAACCUGUCUUUAUCUUUGUGUAGCUCUCUGACUGAAACAUUAUUCAUAUAAAAUUUCAUUACAGUAUAAAGUAUACUUAUAUAUAUAUAUAUAUAUAUAUAUAUAACAUAAUAACCUUCUAAAAGCAAUAUCUUUUAAAAAACAUUCCAUCAAUUGAACAUUACCUCCCUGACACACCCCGUCCCGAAGGAGGGCGUGUUGGCCGUCACGUGAGAGUGACGUAACCAUUUACACAGUUCGGAAGCUCUUAAAAUACAAUUACUAAAUGGAAACCCUCGAGGGUGAGUCCUACUUUUGUGAAUUCUGUCAUAACGUCGUUGGGUUCCUCGUGGCCACCAAAGCUCUGCUAACUUAAACUUGGAGGGGCGAAAAACAAAAUUGAGUGGGUCAGUAAAACAAAGUUUUUCAAAAAUCUUUCGCCAAAAACAAUUCUAACCCCUCACCGUAAAACCUGUAUACUUUCCCAGAAAAAUAGUAUAUAAACAUAUAUAUAUACGCAACAUCAAGACUCGGCUCAUGUCCAUCAUCAUAACAUCUCAGAAAUGAUAUGCCAUGCCCAAAUAUAAUCAGAAUGCAUCAAUGACAAUAAGGUGAAAUAAUAAAUCAACCAGAGACUCUACAAUGGUCAUGUACGGCUGAUUCUAAGGCUCAACAUCCAAUCUAACCGGAGUCACCUCGGUGACCUGUACGGUUCAACUCUGCACGUCACUCGGAACUACAUAUAGUAGUCUGUACGAUGACAGGUGUAUGAAUACGCUCUAAUGCUUCUCUCAUCAAUCAUUGACGCGCAUAACUAAGGUCACCUACUAGUUGGAAUCACAUCUAGUGAUCUGUACAACUAGCAUGUCGGAACCCUCACAUGGUCUGUACGACAUCCACCUACUUGGAUCCAAGACGAGCGUGCGGUGUGGUGAAUAACAAUAUAAGCACUAUCACCUAGGUGCAGGUUAUGAACUUUCAAUGCAAUUCAUAUAAAUAACUCAGCUGAAUAAUAAAUAAACUCACAUGAGCGUCCACCGCGUCAAUUCACAUAUAUAUGCAUCAAUAAUCAAACUAAAUAUCUCAAUAAUUUUAUGCAUGGCAAAUAAAUUCAUAACUUUCAUAAAAACGUAUUUUCUGGGAAAAAUAACUGUAUAUAGGUAAUACGAAAUCAAAAUUGCCCACUCACCUGGAGUUCGUCCAACAACUCCCUAGCACCACACAUCAAGGCGUCAUGACGAUCGCCGCCUAGAACAGUAAUCAAAUCCAACCUCAGAAUUCAUAUCGAGAGAAUAUAUAACUUGUAUAAAAUACGUCACUACGUAGUUCGAUCCGGGAGAUCUGCAAUUCCGAUUUUAAAUCCAUAACUUCCAGAGGUCCACAAUAUACCUCUAGGACAACAUCCUAAAAUUUCAUUACCAUCCAACGGUCGGAUCUCCGUCAAUUUCCAAAACCAAGUGACGGUUAACAUUCUAUAUUAUGGACUUACAACUCCAAUUCCGGAAGAUCCGCAAAUCGGAUUCCCAAUCCGUAAAUUCCUAUAAUCCUCAAAUAUUACGUAUUACAACGCAUCAAAGUUUGGUGACAAUCCAACGGUCGGAUCGUCAAUUCACCUUUUCACCUAAAUGCGAAACUAUAAAACGUUAUUUAAAGCACCUAACCAACAAUCCUUAAUAACUUCUCAUAUGGUGCUCAAUUUGGGUAUAUGAAUAUACCACAUUGACCUACUCGACGUCACGGACGUCGACAAAUUUUUAAAAUAAUUUUUUGAUGUGGCACGCGCCCCCACGCGCUAUGGAAAGCACGGGUCCACGUGCGCCCACGCGCACCUUCUUCCUCGCGAGCUUGCCGAACUGGUUUUUCCGGUGGCCGGAAAAUUGGGGAAUUUUCAAAUGCUUCGUUCUCCUUCGUUUCUCAACCAUUUUCUUCGUAUAAUAUAUCAAUUUGAAGCCCUUAACAUGUAGAAUCACAAUAGACUAGUUUCAAGGUCCAAAAUCCACUAGAUUUUACCUGAGGAAGCACGAUAAUCCGACGUCCAAUUUUGAAAAACUCCUAUCUCGAUCCUCCGACGUCCAAAUUCUACCAACAAAGUACUACUAGACUCGUGUGGACUCCCUUAAGCUUCCUACAAGCUUGAAAUUUCCAAAAACACAAGUUUUAACGUUUGCAUGAAUAGUACCCCCAAAUCGGGUUUACUGUUUCAACGUGAAUACGAAGCUAUCCUUACCUGAAAAUGGUAUGGUUGAGUUCGUGGAGUCCUCACAAGCACGAUGGUGCCUUCAAAACCCUCGAUCCAUGAAGUUUCAGGGUUAUAUGGUGGUGGUCCGUACAUUCGAGAGUGAGGGAGAGAAAGGAAGAAUUGAGAAGGAGAGAAAGAUAGAGGGCACGUGGAAAGUGACAGGGUGUCCCGUGUGUGUGUGGUCCCUCAAAACCAUUCCAUCCCUAUUUCCUAACGACAUAAAAAUACAUACCAAAUUUUAAAUCAACCUUUAAUCCAAUUUAAUUAAUUUUCCAAAAACUUAGGAACCAUGAAAUGUUCAAACAUAUCACACACACGUACCUUAAUACUCGCUAAGGGUAAAUCCGUCAUUUCACAUUCCCGUCAAAUGUAUCUCCGGGACGGGCUGUGACAUCCUGUCUAAGAAAACUGAUGACAAUCGCAAGCUAAACUAUGAAAUACCAAAUUAAAUACAGAAUAAUCACAACCCCAAACCAAACAAAACCCCAAUCAAUUAAAAAAAACAAUCAGAGUUGGAAAAUCCUUUAUGCAGAAACGUGAAAAAGAACAAAUCAGAGAUGCACUUACACCACAAUUCAUGAUCAUUAUCCAAAAUUUGCAGAGCAAACAUACAAUCAAACAGAUACCUCUCUAUUUUUCAUCUCUCUCUCCCUGUUAUUUGUAUUGUGAUAAGGUUUAUGAUAAACAAUGAUUUUACCAAAAUUUAAUAAUAAAAAACAUCACAGUAGAAGUUUAACAUGAGAGAAAGAGUCAAUCUCUACCUUUGAUGUGUUGAUCCUACCAUCCCCUUGCAUGCUUGAUCUCUACAUAAAAAUAGAGUUUGGUUGGUGAGAAAAUGCAGAGAAAACGAACAAAAUUUAAUGUAAUUCAUAAUUUACCAGUAUUAAUAGAACCAAUAACUUAAUAACAGUUUUACAUCAUUAAUUAGUAGAAAACAAUACAUAAAUACAACCCAACAAAAUAAACAUACUGCAUUCAUUGCUGAAGCAGGGAGCCAACCUCCAUGCUGCUAUUGUGCAAAAUCCAGCAGAGGAAUCACUGCAGACUGUUUGUAGUUGGAUGGAUAAUGGGAUAGUAUCUCUUUCACCUAAAACUUAAAAAAAUGACACUUUUUAGAACUCAAAAAACAUAAAAAUAAUUUUGCAAGUGGCAAAUAAUGGAUAUAAUCAAUGCUCGUGGUUUGAUAGCUCAAUUCAAGAACUUAUAUAACAUCAUCAUCAUAUGAAUUAGUAGGAUCACUUUCUAAAAUUCAAUAAAUAACUUGGGGAAAUUUAAACCUUAUAGGACAAUCCAAUUCUAGUAACUCAACUUAGCAACGUGGUUGGAACGUUCAGCACCCCUUACACUCUAGUUAUGUAUAAAUUCAAAAUUGAGCAUGUUUGAAUUAAGGGUGCUAAGAAAAUCCUAAACCUUUUAUACACAUCUUUGCUUAAAUAUCGAGGCUUGUAAUGUUUGACAUAAAUAGUUCAGCCUAAAGCACACAUUGACAACCAAAUUACACAAUCUUUCUCCUUUUUUCAUCUUUUCACAACGACAUGUCUUUCGCCAAAGUUACUGCAUUGCAUUGCCAUUGAAUAAUAUCCUACAAACUAAUUAGGCAAAUGGGUCGCUGAAAUUCACUACAAAAAUGCUCCGCAAAAUUAUUAAUUCCAACAAAAUUGAUAGAACCGAGUGGAAGUUUGUAAGACCCAUUUGCAGGAAGGAAAUGGGUGCUUUGUAGAAAUUGAAAAGAUGGAAAAUCGAUAGUUCAUGAUUUUGGUAGUCCAGAUUAGAUUAGCUUUAGACUCUACCAGUUUAUUGCAUGCCUGCCUUUUAUCCAUAAUUCAUGUCCUAAUUUAUCUGUUUAGGUUUUAGUUCUUGCCUUUGGGAAAACCCAAAAUCUCUACCUCAAACGCCCAUCUGCAACCACACUCCUUACACCCCCCCCCCCCGUCUCUUUCCCCAACCCCUGCUUCACUAAAUGACACACCCAUAACUCUCUCCCCACAGCCAAGGAGCAACCAAAUUCAACUCCAAUAUAAUAAAACUUAACAAAAUACCCAUUUUCACUCACUCCAAUCCUCUAAGAACCCAUAAUUUUUUUCAAUCAGAAAAAGUAAAAAUUAAGCAUUGACUUAAAUCCUGAUAAAAUGAGUAAGUAAUCAGCAACACUUGGUUCAAAAUUUUACAAAUUCACCAACAAUACACUUCAACACAUCCCCAAACAGCUCAGAAAUAGUGAAAUUUGAUUCGAUUCAAUUCAAUUCAACUCGAUUCGAUUCAAUUCAAUUAAUUUCAAUUCAAUUAGUUCAAUUCAACAAUUAUAAUCAUUAAUAUUAUAUUGGAACUAAAUUGAUUGAUAAGACACCUUUAAAAUCAUAAAUCUGAUAAGCAAUCUCACAAUUAACGCAGAUUAUGUUCAUAUCAAAAUCCAUACAGAGAUACAAAUUUGGAAAUAGAGUGUAAAUUCCAUCAAACACGAAGAUAGAGAGAGAGAUAGAGACUACCUGCUAUUGCUUGGCAACCUGAUCUCUUAGCUUCUUGAUUGCCUCCAUUGCAGCUCAGCUGUAGGUAGUCUCGAUUUUUCAAAGUUGUGCUUCAAGCCUUAAUCUAGACUCUAGAGGCUGAGUGAGUUUAUAAAAAAUAAUAAUUUAAUAAGAAAUUAACAUUGAAAAUAAAUCAAGAACCCAAAAAAAAAUGAAAAUUUCAUACCUCUAAGUUUAUGGGUUUAACUGUGGAAUCCAAUUGAGAACCACUAAAAAAAGGGAAAACUGACCAUAACACGUUAGACAAUGCAAGCAAAAAAGGGAUUUCAGUGGAAUUGAAAAGGCAGAAAUUAACAACCAAACCCAUUUAAUCAUACAACCAAAACCCAAUACCCAUUUAAUCAUACACCAAUGAAAAAUCUAAACACAGAGUCACAAAUUAACGAACUGAAAACCCACAAAAAGAACCAAAAAAGAAAAAAGAAAAAGGAAAUUGACCUUAAAACAAAGAACAAAACACAAAACAGAGAGAUGCAUCCCCAACAGUAUAGAAUCGAAUUAAAAAUUGAACUUAGCUCAAAAACACUUACCCUUCAACGUUUGGAGCCUCAGAAAAAUUUAUGAAGUUCACGCAAAUAUUUUUAGGUCUCAAUGCACCUAUCUUGCAAACCAACAAAAAUGAAAAUGCAUUAACACAAAUGCCAAAACCGAUUUCUAAGAUUUUAGUAUUCUCUUUACCCUUGCAACCGAAAAAAAAAAAACGCAGAAAAAUGAGCAAGAAGCUUAAGCAAAAAAAAAAUCAUAUUUUCAACCACCAAAACCCAAUACCCAUUUAACCUGAGAUUUCAGUGUUCUCUUUACCCUUGCAACUCAAAACAAAAAAUCCCAGGAAAAUGAGCAAGAAGCAUAAGCAGGAAAAAAAAACAUAUUUUCAACCACCAAAACCUAAUACCCAUUUAAUCAUACACGAACGAAAAUCUAAACACAGAGUCAUAGAUCAACGAACUGAAAACCCACCAAAAAAAAACCAAAAAAAAAAAAAAAAAAACUGACCUUAAAACAAAGAACAAUACACAUAACAGAUAGAUGCAUCCCCAAAAUGAGAGAAAAUAACAGAAAACGAAAUAAAUAAGGGAACCCCCAAAACCUGACCCAACAGUGCAACAAAUCCAGAAAUAAUUCACAGUAAAAAGGCUGAAAUGAUGACAGUCUAUACUAACAGUAAAGAAUCCAAUAACAAAAGGAACUUAGCUUUCUAAAUCCAGCCACUCAUCCGACACGCAAAAAGGAACAGACGAUCUAGAGUGAUUCAUGGACUGAGGGGCCUUACUCGGCUCUGUUUACCAUCCCAACCCCUCCCUCUCUGUUUCUCUCCCUAUUAUCCGGACAACCACUCUCUCUUUUUCUCUUUCUCUCGCGCGCUACUCGCUUAACUUCGGAAUUCCAACGGAACUGAAGCCAGUGAGCUCCCAAAAGCCCUCAUGCUAGCUAGGGAUGAGAAUAUACAUAUAAGGAUCAAUCCCCUGAGCGAUGUGGGAUCUUACAGCCUAGCCUUCACGUGAUCGUUCACCUCCCGCACCACACGCUUACCUUGGAUCCAAGGCAGGUGCCAGCCUGUCGUACAGACUACAUUAGGUGGUUCUGACUCGUAGGUGACUUGCGAUACUUCGCACAACCUUCACGUGAUCGUAGCACUUGAGCGUAUCUAUUUACAUCUAGCCUGUCGUACAGACCACAUUAGUUGGUUCUGACUCGUGUGCAUGAAUUGGUUAUGAGCUAUAGGUUCAGCCGUACAGGUCGCAUUAGGUGACUCCGACUGACAUUUCAUAUUAUAUGAUUCACAUCACCUGGCUUACAUAUUUAUUACUGAAAUACUUGACAUGGCACUCACUUUGGUUUUCAUUACUCUCAAGCCUGAUUUCUAUAUACUUAUGUAUUAUUAUUUUCUGGAAAAUUAUACGGGUUUUACGGUGAGGGAUUAUUAUUUUUGAAAAGAGAAAUAGUUUCAAAAAGCUUUGUUUUUGCCCACUCACGUUUUUUGUUUUCGCCCCUCUAGGUUUUAGCUGCUGAAGUUCGUAUCGACGAGGAUUCUUGGCGAAUCUCAGUAUAGGUGGCUACCUCUGAGGGUAUGAUCAUUACCCACACUACUGUACUUUACUUAUACUUUGACGUCACGUGUGAAAUGAAUCCAUUCCUGCUCACAUCUCACUCUUGUAUUUAGCUACUUUUAGGUUUAAAUUUAUUCACAUUUUUCACAUCACUACAUUUUAUGGCUUCGUCACCUUCCAGGUGUCGGCCAACACAACUCGAUUCGGAGUCCUAGUGGACAUACCGGGUCGGGGUGUGUCACCUACACUAUAAAAUUUAAUUUACCUAUUGUUUAAUUUUUAUAAAAUAAUGUAUCUACUAUACAAAAUAAUGUACCUACAAUAUAAUUUGCCUAAUGAUUAAUUUUUAUUAAUAUAGGUAAAUUAAUAUAUAUAUAUAUAUAUAUAUAUAUAUUUGUGUUUAUAGUAUUUAUGAUACAAGAAAGGUAUAUUUUCAUAUGGGUUUAAUUGGUGAUCAUAAUUAGGGUGAGUAAUUAUAUUCAUUGACAAGAUUAGAGCUUUGUGACAUAAGUUGUAAAUAUGUUGGAAUAAUUGGCUACAUAUUUGUCUACAUGGUAGUCUAUUCGAAAUUUGGGUGUUAUUUGAAUAUUUAAUAUUAGAUAGGAUUUUGUUUGGAAAAUAAAAGUUUCAAAGGUCUAUCUCUAAAAAACCCUAGAAAUUAUUAUAUUACUUUAGUCUAAAGUAGGAGGGAAAUUGGCACUAUUCAUGUGAAUAGUGUUUUGGACCACAUUUCAGUUUAUUUACAAUAUUGCCACUCGAAUGCUUUUACCCAUCUUUCUCUUUAUUUACAAAAAAAACCCCUCAGGCUUCAAGCCCGAUUUGUAGCCUUUGGGCUGCAUCUCAGGUUUGACUCGGGGAGAAAGAGGGGAUGGGGACAUAAGGGCUGACAAAUUGGAGAGAGGAGACAGCUGGUUGUGGCUGUGGCUGUGGCUGUGGCUGUGGCUGUGGCGAGAGGAGAGGAGGGGCACAGAGGGACGGACAGAUUGGAGAGAGAUGGGAGCUACGGGUGAUCUUGAUGCCGCGUGUUGAUAAUCGUGGAAAGGUCGGGGUGCGAUGGUCGCUUUAGUCUGUAGGGUUUCGAACGGAUUGGGUGGGUUAGGGAGACUUUCAUUUCCUUUCUUUCUGUGAUCUGCAGAGGGACUCGGUGAGACCAUGCCGUCAGGAGAGAGAGCAGGAGGGAGAGAGAGGGAUUUGGUGAGGGGAAGGCAUGCGGCUUGCAGAGAUGAGGAUGAGAAAGGGGGAGGGACAAAGGAAGAGAGAGAGAUAGGGAUUGGGUGAGGGGAAGGCAUACGGCUUGCAGGUAGACAGAGUCACAGGGGUGUACGAUUCAAGGGAGAGAGAGAGAGAGAGAGAGAGAGGAGAUUGAGUGGUGGCAUCACUCUUACUACCUGCACUCCUGAGGCCGGCUACCAGAGAGAAGGACACAUGAGAGGAGAGAAAGAAAGAAAGAGAGAGCGCGCAGAGGCAGGAAGGCCUGAGAUUGAGGACAAAGGCCAUGGUUGCACAGAAUGACUGAGAUUUGAAGCCCAUGACAGCCUCAGCUGAUUGAAAAGGUGAGGAGUCGUUUUCAAAUCUUUUGUGCUUUAGGAUUAGGUUUACAAACUCUAUUCAUAUCAUGCAGCUUCAGAUUCGAAAUUGUGAUUUUGGUCAGCAAACCCAGCUCCAAUCAUCUACAAAUCAAACCUCACGAAGUAAAGCACUCCGAUUCCGAUUCAUAUCAUGCUUCUGAUGGAUCUGGUUGUGGUCUCUGUGUAUUUGCGCAUCCAUAUAACUCUGAUUUGUCCAACAUGCUCAUGGAUUUUUUUGUAUGAUUUUGCAGGGCAAAUUACUAUAUUGCCUAUUUUCCUUUCAAAUCCAACGGGUCGAGGCAGGCUAGAGCUGGUAUAGAUUACAAAUAUUAGUUUUGCAUAGCACUGUAAUUUUGAUUGGUGAGAUCGGCCUCAUUAAAAAAAAAAAAAAAAAAAAAGAACAGCCAUCUUUCAAUUCAAUAGUAAAGGCCUUCAUUCAAAUAUGAGUUUUGCAUAGCACUAUAAACAUUAUAUGUAGUUACAGAAUUGCUGUUUUGAUUGGUAGCUCUAUUGAUUUUUGUUUAGUUGAUUUGAAUUUAUACCGAAUUUACUUAAUUUUUAGUACAAUUAUUUGCUUUCUGGUUUUUAAUUUAAAGACUAGGAGUUUGAAUGGUGUAGUGGAGGUUGAUGUUGUUUCCCACAUUUUUGUUAUGAAUUCUCAAUGUUUGAUGAAUUCGGGAAAUCAAUUUUGUUAUCUCUUAUGCAGUUAUGAUCGUAUGAGUUGGAAUUUAGAUUUCACACACAUGUAAACUGAAAAAAUAAAAUAGAUUUCGUAAUUCGAAGUUAGCCGACCCCACAUGAUGGGAAAAGGCUUAAGAAGAAGAAGUUAGCUCUAAACUAUAGAAGCAUGGAAGUUUAUGUGGACCUUAGAUUGUUUUGAAAAAUAAUUGAUUGAUUCAAGAAAGCAAAGACCUUGGAACCUUAACUGUCUCAUUGUAAUCCAUCACCAAGUUCUGGUAAUUUAUGUUCUAUUUUUUCAGUCAUCUGAAACUGAAUUGCAUUUGGGUGUUUGUCUUUGAUGCUAUUUUUUGGAUGUAGGUAACUAGAUUCUUAUUCUCUGGGAAUUGUAUUCGUUUGUUCAAUCUCAGUAUUUUACCAAUAUUCUCACGAUGUCCUUUGUUUUUAAUCUAUAAUUUAUUUUGUCCAAUUCAUGAAAAAGUUGAUGAAAAAGUUGCAGUUUCGGAAAUGACUGUCAGCAAUCAAGAUGUGAAAAAGAAGGUUCCUUUUUCUUAUUUUUGUUUCCAAGUUCUUCUUCUGGUCUAUUUUGUGGAUAAAAAAAAAGGAUCUUUCGGCAAACAGAAUGGUGUUUUUUUUAUCAGAUUUUGUUAAUUAAUUGGAUUUUGUGUUUACCCUUUCAUUUCAGUCUUUUAUUCAUAAAAUCUUCACCUCAAAGGAGAAAGAAGGAAGCGGCUCUUUGGAUUUCUCAGGUGAGUCUCUAAUGGUUGACUGCAACUGAAUAUCCUUCUUCCUUUCUUCUUUGUUUGAAACAGUGAUAACUCAGUCAACUAUGAGUAGAUGUAUAGUGGCCUGCUUCAGUGCUCACUUGGUAAAGUUUUUUGGUCACAUAAAGGUGCUAGAGUUGGGAACUUUUUGGAUCUUAAAUCAUUGGUUGCCUAACAUUCUCUAUAUUGAAAGGCAUCAUUUUUGUUACCACAUUUUAUAUAUUUUAGACAAUGAAUAUGAGUGCAGUGGACUCUGAGUCAGUGAACAGGGAGUUACUAAUUUUGUUAUAUGAGAUUUGGUUAAAUGUCUAAUACACAUGGUUGCUGAGGUUUGUUUACAUUGGUGGUAAAUUCUUGCUUUCUUUUCAAUUUUGUUUUAUUGUAAUUCGUCUUGGUUUAUGGAUCUUGCAUUGCUGACGUGAAAUGGUUAUAUUUCAAUGUUUGUGAGAUGUCGAAUUGUGUGUUUGUGGCUUAGUGAGAGUUAGAUUUAGAUUGUGUAGAAAAUGUGGGCUUCGGAGUGUAACCCAAUUAGCAAUUUGGAGUGAUUGAGGAGAAGUAUUCUGAGCUGCAGUAGGACUUGGUGAGACCAUGCCGUCAGGAGAGAGAGCGAGCGAGCAGAGAGAGAAGAGGGAGGGAGGGAGAGAGAUAGGGAUUUGGUGAGAGGAAGAGAAAGGAGGGAUGUGACUUUUGACUCGGGGAGAGAUAACUGUGCCUGUUGCUUCGGUCAGAGCAUUGUUGGGGGAGGAGGACAGAGGGACUGACAGAUUGGAGAGAGAUGGGAGCUAGGGGUUUUGACUCGGUGAGAUUGUGAGGGAGAGGGGGAUGGCAGAGACAGAUGAGAGGGAGCUGGGCGUGGGAAUUGCAGAGAGAGAAAGAGAACUCAGAAGAUAUUUGUUUUGUUGAGAGCUGACAAGAAAAGGGGAGAAACAACGGCAAAGUGACAGAAUUUGAGAAUCUGAAGAAAAAAAUGAUUAGUGGGGUUUUAGCUUGUGGCACUUUCUUCCCUGCUUUCUAAACACAUUUUUCUCAACACACCCCUUCAAGCUCUGGAAGUGUUUGCUCAAAUUGGAGCUCAAAAGCGUCAAAUUUUAUGGAACAAAUGGUCUCAAAGAAGCAGAUUACACUGCGCAGUAGCAGCGCAGGACGCGGUGGGCCUGGGUUUGGUAUUGUUCAUACCUCUGUUUCUUCAAUUUUUUUAAUUUCUUUUAUAUGCAAUUUCUGUGCAUGCUGCUGAAAUGAAUAUGGUGGUGGAAACUGUUGUUUUAUAUGAAUUGGGUUUUUCACUACAUUAAUAAAGAUCAAAUCUUUGUGGUUCUUUGUUGUUUAUCUCAACCUUGCUUUGCCCACAGCCGCUUGAAGAUGACGUGUUCCUGAUAGUCGGUCACUUCCGUGACAGUUCCGAACGAAGGAUUCGGCUCCCAAGCUCCGAUGAUUGUGUCUGGCAAAGAGAAUUCAGGAAGAGUGGAAGAUCCAAGAAGGAUUUGCCAGGCGAGUUCUUUUGUUUUUUAUUUUGAAUUUCCUUUUAAAUAACUGUUUUGAAUUAAUGGUAGUGAAGUUUUCUCAUACUUAGCCUAUUCAUUUUUAUCAAAUAUUUUGCACUGACUAUUUCAUGAUGCUGACUGAUGUAAUUAAUUUGGUUUUGUACUGAAAGUUGGAGUUGAGAAUAUAUGGAAUAUAGUUGUUGGAUUGGUGUUUGUACUAUAGAAACUUAGGUGUGCUCACCCCCUUUUCAUGGACAUCCAUAGCUUAUGAGACGCUGUUCAAGUCGGACCACUGGUGAAUGCCUAAACUGUUGUGCUUAAAUAGAUUCAUCAACUCAAUAUUGUCGUUAAUUUUUGUUUUGAGUCCAUUUUCCCUGCUGCUGUUCUAUUAGGAUUAUAAGCUCAGUCGUUCAGGCAUGACACAUUUUCAGUGGGAAGUCAUAAGCAUAAUUCAUUUUUUUUUAGAUUAGACUCAAGAUUUUUAUUUGCAUUAUUCUUCCGUUUUACAAAUAUAAUUGGCUGCCUUAAUGAUUGUUGAUGAAUCAUCACGAAAGUCCAUUUCUCUUUUAAUCAUUGACUAUUUUUUUUCUUCUUCAUUGGCAGUCGAGGCAAAAGGUUCUUGCGAUUUCAAUCAAAUGCAAACUGUGCAAGUAUAUAUGUUGUAUGCACACAUGCAUAUAAACUAAUAUAAUAUAUAUACAUGAUUUCAUGUGUUAAAGAGUGUACUUGUUCUUAAAUAAAGGUUCUGCUGACAAAUGUGUUUAACAAUAUGAUCUUACAACUCAUCUUUAAACUUUGUAUAACUGAAAUAUUAUUCAUCAAUUGUAACUUCCCCUGUUGCUAUUUGCUAAUGACACAAGCUAUGAAGAUUGUACUCAUUCUGUUCGUAGAUGCAAGGCUAGAAAUUAGGUUUGUAUGGGGUUAAAUCAAUUGAUGCUAUAGUAUUUGUUAAAAUUGUAAGAUUUGGUGGUUUGGUAAAUUGAUUAUAGUAAUGUUGUUUGUGGUUUGGGUUCUCCUUUUGUUUUGGAUAGAUGAUGCUUGAUUGUGGUUUAAGUUUUUAUUAUUAUUAUAUUCCCUGCACAUUGCAAAAUUCUGGUACUAUUUGAGGAUUUUGGUGUUGAAAGUCUAGGGUUUAGUGGAAUGAAAAGAAGGGAUGUAUGCGUUUCGGAAAUGUGUUUUUAAGGUACCUUUAACUCCUAACUGCCAUUUAGCAUUCAAUAUAUACUCUAUUGCUGGCUGGGGUUUACCCUUUUGAGCAUUUUAUUACGUUUCUUCUUGCUCUCUGACUGAAAAUUUUAAAUGCUAUAGGUGAAUGCAAACAGUGCAAAACGCGGUCUGAAAAAUGGACGAAAGCGAGCAUUUCGACUUGCUGCUGCAAUACACAGGUGUGUUGAAAACUUUCCCAAAUCCUUUGUGCUUACACAAUUAUACAUGUGUGUAUGUACAGCUUUAUACAUGCAUCUGUGGAAAUACAUACGUUAGAGCCUGGUUUUUGUUUUAGAUUUAUAUGCUAGUUGUUAGGUUCUAGCUAUGUGAAGUUUAUGUCUUUAAUUUAUUUUUUUAUGGAAGUAGCUCAUGUUUGCUUACCCGGCGGUGGUUAUUCUGAUUUAGUGGUUAAAAAUGGAAAUUUCACUCGCAGUAAGGGAUUAAUUGAGGUUCAUGCAUGCAUCCGUGGUGUAAAUUUGAGAGAUGGAAUAAUAUAUGUGUGUAAAGUCCCUUCUUUUGGUUUUUUAUUGCACUGUUUAGGUGGUGAAUUGCACGGAAAAUGGGGGAAGAGAGGGGUACAAUUGAUUUAAUUUGAGCAAAACAAUGGCAUUUAAGCUUAGUUAGUUAGUGAUUAUUAGAGUCAAUAAGGCGCCAUUUGUCUUUAACUGAAAUAUGAAUUUAUUGAAUGAUGAAUGAGGUUGUAGUGUGAGAGAAAUUGAGAAAGUAAAGAAAAGAUGGAAGAUGAAGCUACAAAUAUGUGACAAACAAUAAUGAUAGAUCAAUUCAUCUAUGUUGGUUUAUUAAACUUGGUCAAGCAAGCGUUUUGUUUUAAUUGGGAUAUAGUUUGGUACUUUCAUACUAAUUUCCAUAGUUUAUAAUAGUUAACCAACCAAAGGUGCUUUCUUUUCAUUAUUUUCCAAUAUAUUUUAGCCAGCUGACAAUCUUAAAAGAUUUACUUAGACGCAAAACAAAUCCGUGUAUUAUACACAUACCUGAGAUUUAUGGGGCCAUAUUUGCGCCUUCUUCCGGCAUCGUUUAUUGGUAAGUUGUAAAACCUUUGUAGAUCUCAUGUUCAUUUCAGAUUUUUGUAUCAAUUUUUGUAUCAUAAUGGAAUUGCAAAUCAAGUAUAUCUUGGAUUCUUACUUGCAUACUCACUUUUCCACAACUAUUAUAUUGUCUCUUGACUGGAUGAAUUUUCAUAAUUUCCUGGAUCUACGGUUACAAUGCUUUUUAUAAUUUCCUAGCUCUAUCCUUUUUGUUUGUGCAUGAUUAUGUUGAUUUUUUUUAAGGUUAAAUGUGUCUUAUUCAUGUAGUUAAGGUUUGUGCAUUCAAGUUCCGCAGCAAUGCGCGGGCAUUUUUUCUAGUAUUAGCUAAUGCAGAUUGGAUGAAACUCUGGAAGUUGACUAUAUAUUAGUAUGCGUUCAAAUUCUGGAUAUCAAAAUAUAAUUGUCUCCAGUAAUACUAAAUUUCGUUAUCGUUAUGGUGUAUAGAUCAAGUGGAUUAAUUAUAGCUACGUGGGGUGCUUCAGAGUGUACGGCAUGUGGAUAACUUUUCAGUGGUCGAAUAGUGUUCUUCAAAAUGUUUUGAUUAAUUUUCUUGAAGUUCAGUUGCUAGCUAGUAUAUGUAUAUUUUUUUAAGGGAUGAUAGUGUUCUCAUUCCCUUAAUCUUAUUAAAAUAAAAACAGAAAUACAAACAAGGGUGUGGAUCCAAAUUUCUGCCUUUUUUUUCUUGGACGAAAAUGCACCUGCAAAACAAUUAACACUUUAGGUUAAGGUCAAGAGCGUCACGCGCCCAUGAUGAAUGGGGGACCUUUGGCCGAAGAACUUCCGAUGUCAAAGUUAGAAUUUGAGGGAGAAAGUAUUUGGAGAAAUCUGGAGAAUUUCAAAAGAGAAUUAGAUUCAGGUUGUUUGAGAAAAUGAGGGGCUAUAUAUGGAGGUGUGGCCGACCCUAUUAGGAAAUUUGGGACCGGUCACAUAUGGUUGAUGUGUGGGAUUGAUUGCAAGAUAUUAUGUGAGAUAAUAUCUUACAAUUAAUUUGGUAAUUAAUCAAUUAAUCCCAAUUUGAAAAGAAUAAUUGGGAGUUAUCUUGUGGGUGAGAAUUUGAUGAGGAGUGAUGAGAGAGUUUUAAAAGAAUACCAUUUUGAUCACCUUUGACCUUGAUUGAGUUAUUGUUUGUUACAUGUGUGGGAAUCUUGAUGUGUUUUAAGGGUAAUUUUGUCUUUUUAACUCAAAAGUCUAUGUGUCGCCUUUAUAUUUUUCUUGAUUAUUUUUUGUUCCAAGGCAAUACAAAGCCAAACCUCCUUGAGGAAAAAAAAGGUAAAACCAAAAAUCAACCCCACAUACAAAGAAAACAUAUAAUGAAAUCAUUUGAAACGAUGGUUGGUAAAAGCAGAAAGAGCAAAAGUUUCACAUGAAAGAACGUUCACCAUCAGUAAUGUGCAUCAUGAUUUGCACGAAAGUUAGUUAAGGCAUCAGCCAUACAUGCAGUUGCUAGCUAGUACAGUAGUAGCUAUACCACUCAACUUUUAUUUUAUGUUUUUAUUAAUUAUUAGGUGUACCAACAGUUAUAUGAAUUUGAAACAUUUGUCAACUUUAAGACAAAGUAUUUGAAGUUAAUGAAGAAUUUGGUAUAAAACCGAGUACAGUGAUGUUCUAAGAUUUAUACAGUUAAUAAAAUUUUAUUGUUGUUUGUAGUAAGAAAAAGAGUAUUAUUAAAUCAAGUGCUUGUUUAAUAGUAAAAAUAUUAGAGACUACUGAAAAAACAAAAGGAGUAUAUACACUUGUCUUGUCACUGUCAUAUUCACUUAUCUUGUCACUGUCGUAUUCUUGUCGAGUUCAUGUGCGAUAUUAAUUUAUAAGUACUACAUUGUUGUAACUAAUUUCACCAUAGUGGAAAACCUAACCUACUCAGUUCACUCUUGUUGGGCUUUUUGGCUCAAAAUUAAGAUGAUGUAAUAAAUUAGGUUUGUGUUACCUAUUUGGUUUUGGUGUCCUAUUUGGGUUUGGAUUUUGACUUCUUAGUUGGUUUCCUUGAUGGAGAGAUUUUGUUAAUUACCUAUUUGAUUAGGAUUUUUGGGAGCAGCCUCUCCAUAAAUGGGGGUAAGGCUAGCCGACAUUCACCUCUUCCAGACCCUGCGUAAAGCGGGAGCCUUGUGCACUGGGUACGACCUAUUUGAUUAGGAUUUGGAUUUACUUCCUAUUAGGAUUCUUAUUGUAACCUAAGUCCUAUGCACUAUAAAAAGGACAUUAGGGUUAAUGUAUUUUGUGUGGCUCAUUCGUAUGGCAAUUUGGUGAGAGUCAAUUUGUGAAUUUGUGAGUUAGAGAGCAAUUUGGGAGAAUCUUCUCUGUUAGGUUUGGGUUAUCUACUUGUUUGGUUUAGGGUUUCUAAUUUGUGGGAUUUGGGUUGUGAGAGUUCAAACACUCUUUUGUAAUCUCCGUUUGUUUAGUGAAAUUCCUCGCCGUGAUUCGUCCGUGGAGUAGGCUUUAUGUCGAACCACGUAAAUCUCUUGUGUCAGUUUGAGAUUGUUUGUUUUAGCUUUCACCUACGACAUUGAUAUUUGGUACUUUGUUAUAAUUCGCUUCCUUUUGCCCAUAAAAGUACAACAACUCUCUCUUCAGAUCUGACUUUUCUUAUAAAUAAUAAAUAAAAAAGAAAACUAAUAAAAAAAAAGCUUGAAAAUUUUGAGUUUUAACGAUAAAGACAAAAUAAAGGAUAAAAUGAAUAGUACUAGGAUUAACUUGUUAAUGUAAAAAAUAUGGUUUUUCGUUAAAAUGAACGGGAACUUUUUGUUAAAAAAAAAAGAGAAGAAAGGUACGAUCUCAUGUAAUUGGUACAGGGUAGGCAUGCAUGGACCUGUAAUACAAGUCAAGAAAAAUAUUAAAGGGGAUCCUAUCCUCUAUAAGAGCAUGGUGCUGUUUCAUUGGGUUUCUAUCCCAAAAACUUAAAACUUCUAUAUUUCACACAAUAUUCUCUCCAAAAUGCCGCCGGUAAGCCUUUUCAUAUAUAUAUAUAUAUAUAUAUAUAUAUGUAUGUUCUACUACUCUUGCAUCUUGUAGCAGUUGUAUACAUUUUUCUUUUAAUCCAACUGAAACUAAUUAUUAAGGCGAGAAGGUUUUCUUAAAUUAGCUGACAUUAAUUAAAUGUAUAAAUUGAUCAUAUUGUGUAUACAUCUUUUGUACAAAUUGAUGGUGCAGCAAAUGAAGAUCGUUGUGAAGGUGCCAAUGCACUGUGACAAAUGCAGAACCAAGGCCUUGAAGAUUGCAGCUGCUGCACACGGUAUGUGCCUUUUGAUAUUAUCAUGAUUCAAAUUUUCUUUCAACGAUUUCAUUGUUAAUUAUAGUUGGCAUGGUUAUUAAAGAGUAUCAUAAUUAAUGAAAGCAGGUGUUAGUAAAGUGUCGAUAGACAAAGAUCUUGUGGAGGUGAUCGGGGAUGAUGUAGACCCGUUCUGCUUGAUGAAGUCAUUGAGGAAAAGGUUCGGCUGUUGCUGCGCCCUAGUCAAAGUUGAAGAAGUAAAGCCGCCACCUCGUCCACCUCGUCCACCUCCUCCACCUCCUCCAGCAAGCUGUGUUCAAAACUGUUGCACUUGCACUCCCCAUUGUCGUUCAAUGUACUGUGUUCAAUACUGUUGCACUCCUCAGUUUCGUCCAAUGUACUGUGAACUGGUUCAUGAAUAUCCAGAACCACCAACUUGCUCCAUAAUGUAAUUGCGUGUGACAUGAAUUAGUUGAACUUGAUUAUGAUCAUUUUCAUUUUCUCUUUUCCCUUGUAGAUGCAUGGAUCUAAAGUUCAUAAGAAAUAUUUUUAUAUCAAUUGCUUCCCUCUUUGAAAUUUUGUUUGUGUUUCUGCUUGUGCCUUUUUCAUGUGUUUCCUAACCCAUAUGGAAUUGCUCAGGUACUACGAAACACUUUUGAUCAUAAGUGCUUCUAUAAGAAACACUUUUAUCACAAACAUAACAAGUUUGUAAUCCAAAGAGACCAUCAUUUAUAUGAGUUGCCUUUAAUUAUGUACCUGUACUGAUCCAUACUAAUUUUCGACCAAUAAAUGGGUGAAAGUAUGAUUAUAUAGCAGCAUGUGUGGAUGCAUGGUUAAUCAGGGUGUCAACACACUUAAACUAUCUCUAUUUCUUGAUUUCAGCAUGUGUGGAUCCAUACAAAAACUUAUUACUUGCCACAUCAGAUAGUGAAUCAUUGUAGUCUAAAACUGUAUAGGUGGUCUAGUGGUUGGAGAUGAAUUAUAGACACGUAUUCUAUACGGCAUAUGUCCUAGGUUGGAUUCCUGGAGUUGGGUGAAUCAUAAGAUGGUGGCCAGGAGAGGCUAAAAUGCUUAUGUAACUCUUCUCGGCCCUCGAAAGAGUAAAAUGUUGUGACAAAACCACCGGCUGGUCAUCUUUUAAAAAGCGAAAGGAGGAAUGCAGAGCACAGCUACACAGUCAAUGGGUUUAGAAUUCCAGCGAGGAAGACGAGAGGAAGAAGAAGAAGAGAGAAAACAAAGUAUUUGACAAAAAAAAAAAGUAUGAUAUGAAUUUGUAGUGCAUUCAAAGAUGAUAUGAAUUUGUAGUGCAUUUAAAGAAGAAUAAAGGUGCCAAAUAUAUGUUUAUAAAUCAUUUAAUCUUUGAAAACAAAGUUGUAAACACGAAAAUUCCUGAAACGAAAGAGACAAGAACACGUGUACAAAAUAAUAUUUGUACUUGAUGAUUUUGGGUUACAAUAUCUCUCUAAUUUGAUCCUCUGAUUCGAUCUCCGUAAGGUGUUGAUUUGUGGAUGUGCGAUUGAUCCAAAGGGUCGUUGGGCUUGAUCUAAGGAUGAACGUUCUUCAAGGGCCGUGGGCUUGAUCUUGAAGGUGGAUUUGAGCGGAUCUUCAAGGAGCCGUUGGGGCUUGAUCUUGAGGAUGAGCGUUUCUUCAAGGGCCGUUGAGGCUUGAUCUUGAAUAACGGUGAUGAACGGAUCUUCAAGGGCUUUUGGGCUUGAUCUUGAAGAACAAUGAUUGACGGAUCUUCUAGGGCUUUUGGGCUUGAUUUGAAUAACGGUAAUGAACAGACCUUCAAGGGCUUUUGGGCUUGAUCUUGAAGAAUGAUUGUGCGGAUUUGUUGAUGUUGUUUAUCCAAAGGGCCAUUGGGGCUUGAUCUUAGGAUGAACGGAUGAUGAACGAUGAAUACUUUCUUCAAGGGCCGUCGGGGCUUGAUCUUGAAUUCGUGGAAGUUCUUCAAGGGCCUUUGGGGCUUGAUCUUGAAUUAGUGGAAGUUCUUCAAAGGGUCGUCGGGGCUUGAUCUUGAAGGUGGAUGAUUGUUGAUCCAAGGGCCGUCGGGGCUUGAUCUUGGAAGAACGAAGAACGAAGAACGAAGAGGGCUUUCUUGAUUCUUCGGGAACCUGGAUGCUUGAGAGCUUUGGAGUUUCAGAGCUUCAGAGCUUCAACGUUUUGGUGUAAUAUGAAUUGGUUAGGAAUUGGUUAUGAAUUGGUUCUCAAUUUGUUCUGAAUUUUUUCUAAAAUGAAUGAAAUGACUUCUAUUUAUAGAAAUUUUCAAAGCCUAAUUUUGAAUAUAUUAUUCAGAUGAAAUAAAUCGUUUUUGCCAGGUGUUGACAUGUGUCCUGUUUGAUGACUUUUCUGAUGAUUCUCGAUUUUUCGUUGAGUCACCUGCUAUGUGUAAAAUUUAUGUGACACGUGAACGUCGAAAUUUUAAUUAUUGAUCAACAUUUAUUUCACCGAAAUUUCGAUGUCUACAAAAGUAUUUGACAAAAAAAAAAAAGGAAAGUAUUUAAUCAACAAUUUAAAAUAAUUACAUAAAAAAAUGGAGGGUGGGAAACCAAGAUGCAUAAAAGGGAGGAAUGCAGAGCAUAACUACACAGUUAGUGGGUUUAUAAUUUGUGCAAAUAUAACUUACCUAUUGCUUAAUUUUUAUAAAAAAAAUAAUGUAUCUACUGUAAAAAAUAAUGUACCUACUGUAAUGACCCGUUCCCAAUUUUACGGUUUUUUUAUAAUUUUAAUAAGUGAAUUUACGAAAAUGCCCUUUAAGGCAAAUGCGUUGACUUUUGUUGAUUGCCAUGUCGUGCCACGUAAGACUUGUUUUCUUGGUGUAUCCUCAUAAUACUCAUCGCUAUGAACGCGUAGGCGAAACAGAACGUAAUUUGGAGUUAUAACGAAGACUCUACGAACCUUUAAAUAGUGAGGGUAUUUUGGUAAAUUGACAAUUGAACAUGUGAAAUUGGUUGUGUGCCACAUGGGACCCACAGAUUGAUCCCCAUUUUUCUAGAUUCUUCUUUUCCUCUUCUCCUUCUUUCUCCCGUUAGUCUCUUCUCAGUUCACAUAUCUCUCUCUCGCCUUCAACUUCCUCCCCGUGACACUUAAGCACCAAUCCACCUUCCCGACGAAUUAACGACUUGAAAAUCACCAUAUUCUUACUCUCCUCAAACCUAGAAACCUGAAUCAAACUUUGGUUUCUUGGAAUACUGUGAACGGAUGCCAUUUCAAGAACCUUCAUUGAAGCGGUGGGUUUCCCUUCAGUUUCAGACAAUUUCCAACCAUCUUUUGAACUCAAAACAUAUAUAAAUCGAUUCCUCCCGUCGAUUAGAUGAAUUUUCAUGUUUGGAUCGUUUAAUUUAGUGAAGAAAUUAUAAAGUUACAAUGAUUUAAAGUUUGCCCAGUUUCCGGCUAUCUCCACCACUUUCAAGGCAUUUUAUGGUCAAACCAUGGCUAGUUAUCCAUCGUGAAAGGUACCAAUCUCUUCAUCUCGUUGAGAACUAUGAUUUCCAUUUUUGAAUUACUUGAUUUUGUUGAGUAUUGACAAAGUUAUGGACGUUGAAAUGUUGCCCAGAAAUUUUGGCGAAUAUCUGUGUUUCCCACUGGCAGUCGUCUUUCAGGCCAUUUUAUGGCCAUCUCCGGAGACCAUAUGGACUCCAAGCGAUAUAAUUUUGCUCUACACUUCUCUAGCUUCGAUUUGGUAUAUUAUGAGUCGAUUUUGGUUAAAAAACAAGUGAGAUAUGGAGUUCUAAAGAUUGCCCUGGAAGUCUGCAAAAUCUGCAGAAUCCGGCGAAAAUUCAUUAAGGUAUGCCACUUAAAUAGUAUAGCAAUCGAUGAUCCAACCGUUGGAUCGUUACUAAACUUUAAUACAUUAUAGUACGUAAUAUUUGAGGACCAUAGGAACUUACGGAUCGGGAAUUCGACGUACAUAUCUUUCCGAAUUAGAUUUGUAAGUUUGUAAAAUAAAACAUUAACCGCCACAUGAAUUUGCAAUUGGCGGAGAUCCAACCAUUGGAUCGUAAUGAAAUUUUAGUAUGUUAUUCUAGAAGCAUAAUGUGGAUCUUUGGAAGUUACGGAUCAAAAAUCUGAGUUCGGAUCUUCCGGAUCGAGUUACGUAGGAUUAUGGACCCUACCGUCGACCUUUGACCGACAGUUGACUUUUGGUCAAUGAGUCUCAAAUCAUUCUAGAAUGUCCUUGAGGAUGUGUUUUAUGUAAGUUAUGUGUUCUAUUGAUAAGGAUUCUGAGAUGUGAGUUGAUAAUUGUUCUAGGCGCCGAUCACUCGUGACACCUCGAUGUUUGUGCUAGGGAGUUGUAGCGUGGACUCCGGGUGAGUGGGCUUUUGGUUUUCUAUAUAUACAUAUAUAUGUUUUACAUUUUCUCAGAAACUGUUUUAAUUUGCGUAUAUUUUAAGUGCCAUGUCAUACUUGCAUGUUAUUUUAGUAUAUGCAUUAGUAUAGAUAUGCAUAUUAUUGCAUGAUGCUGCGAACACCCAGGUAAGCUUCAGGUGAGUACAUAUUGAUGAUCGUGAUUGCAGUGUGUAUGGUUAUGUUUAGAUGCAUUUAAUGCUCAUUAUUCUGCACCCCGGUGUUAGUGCUCUGCCCGAGGCCAAGGCAUAGCCUUCACGUGAUCGUUCACCUCCCGCACCACACGCUUACCUUGGAUCCAAGGCAGGUGCCAGCUUGUCGUACAUACCACAUUAGGUGGUUCCGACUCGUAGGUGACUUACGAUACUUCGCACAGCCUUCACGUGAUCGUAGCAAUUGAGCGUAUCUAUUUACACCCAGCAUGUUGUACAUACCACAUUAGGUGGUUCUGACUCGUGUGCAUGAAUUGGUUAUGAGUUAUAGGUUCAGCUGUAUAUGUUACGUUAGGUGACUCCGACUGACAUAUCAUAUUAUAUUGAUUCAAAUCACCUGGCUUACAUAUUUAUUAUUGAAAUACUUGACAUGGCACUCACUUUGGCUUUCAUUACUCUCAAGCCUGAUUUCAAUAUACUUAUGUAUUAUUAUUUUAUGGGAAAUUAUACGGGUUUUAUGGUGAGGGGUUAUUAUUUUUGGAAAGAGAAAUGGUUUCAAAAAGCUUUGUUUUUGCCCACUCAUGUUUUUUGUUUUUCGCCUCUAGGUUUUAGCUGCUGAAGUUCGUAUCGACAAGGAUUAUUGGCGAAUCUCAGUAUAAGUGGCUACCUCUGAGGGUAUGAUCAUUACCAAGGAUGAAAAUAUCGAUAUUAUCUACGAUACUUCGUCGAUAAUAUCGUUUUUUUUUAAAUAACGAUAUGUUUACAUAUAUCCACAUAAUUAUCGUCCAAAUAUCGCGAUAUUAUCGAUAAUAUCGAUAAUAUCGCGAUAUUUUCGAUAAUAUCGAUAAUAUCGCGAUAUUUUCGAUAUUUUCAAGAUAUUUUCGAUAUUUUCGCGAGGAGGAUGCUCCGACGAGGAAGAAGAAGGAGCAGAGCUGGAAGAGGCGGAUGAGGGCUUACUGAACGGUGGAAAGGGAGUGGAGCCGCCGGAAUCCGCCGAGCUCGAGGACUCCUCUGGACCGCCAAUCACAAUCACCACCGCCGAAAUUCCCCCAAAUCCCCAGAAACAAACACGAAGUUGAAGCAAACCCAAAUUUCAAUAGAUCAAAAUAUGGAAUUACAGUGCAUAAUGAUUCAAAAAUUACCUUAAUUUACACAAAAAGUUUCAAGAUCUAACAAGAAUUACAUAUCCAAAGUAGGGAAAUUUAGGGAAAAACCCACCGAGUGUAGUUCAUCUUCUCGUAAAACCGAAUCGAGAAAGGCGAGAGCGACAGAUUCACCUCGUCCUUUCCCCACCGAAUCGAGAAAAGCGAGAGCGACAGAUUCACCGCGGCCAUGAGGACGAGAUGGUGAUGGUGAUGUUCCUCGCGCAGGGAGAUGGGUGCAUGCGAUGGGUGCUUGCGUGCUGCGGUGCAGAGAAGAGAGAUGAAGGAGAUAUGAGAGAGAGAGCCGAGAGGGAGACAGAAGAAAAAGAAAAGAAAACAGAAAGAAGAAGAAAAGAAGAAGGAAGUCACGUGGGAACAGAGAGAGAAAAGAAAAGAGUGGAGGGGGGCUGCCACGUGGCCACUUCAGAAAGAAAGGGAUCCAAUGUUUUGGAUCUUGAUUAGGUAGUCAAAGAGGACCAAUUUGAUAUAUUAAAAUGUUUAGGGGAUAAUUACACAAAUAUAUCUUUAUAAAUGGGGGUGGGUGUUACAUAUUGCCCUAAAAAACUCCAAGUAAUUACAACAUCGUAUUAGAAUUGUAAUUGAUCCUUGUUAGAUUUGGUUUAGAAAUUCUAUGUAAUUUAGUGAUUGUUUCAUAUUAGGUUUAGAUUUGAAUUUUUUACUCCAUUUAGAUUUUAAAGGAUUAUAAUAGAUUUAAAAAUUUAUGAAUUUUGAUGAAGUUUAAUAAUUUUUAAAACUUUUAUGUAAAAUUUUAAGUGAAUUCCUUCAAAUUUUCAGGGAACGAUUUGAGAAUGUUUAAAAUAUUAUGUGAAAUAUUUCUAAUUUUUUCGAGUUUCCCAACUUUUUUAAAAAUAUCUUCGAAUCAAUUUCUAAAUGAAUACAUUUGGAAUGUAUGAAUUUCUUAAAAAUCAUGAUCGAAUACCCCUUAAACUUUAAAGAAUCACUUAAAAUCCUGAUUAAAUGCCCUUAGAUUUUUAGGGAGAAUUAAAAUGUUUAUAAGCCCCAAUUGGAUGUACCGCUUAAUUUAACUAAUUGACACAACACACAAAAAACCAGUUAAGAUUACAAAUUAACACAAAAGACGACUUGAUGCGAGGUCAUAUCUAAAAAACUUGCCGCAAUAAGCCCCAAUUGGUGUGUUUAAACUUCUUUCAUUAAUUACUACAUAUUUUCUACACUCACAAUGUUUGUCAGCUCGCUAUAUAAUCAACUUGAUAAUGUUAAAUCCAUCAUGCAAUGCAUUUCCUUCCAAUUUUUUGUGAUAAACUAAUAGAUAAUUGACUAAAUAAACAUCUUGCAAAGUUUCAAUAAAAAUUUCCAAGUUUUUCUUACAAUUUCCGUGGUUUCCAUGUAAUUUUUAUCGAUAUUGAUAUUAUCCCGAUAUUUCCAUCGAUAUUUCCGUGUUUUCGGACUACCGAUAUUUCCGAUAUUACCGAUAUUUUCUUCCUUGAUCAUAAUUAGGGUGAGUAAUUCUAUUCAUUGACAAGAUUAGAGUUUUGUGGUAUAAGUUGUAAAUAUGUUGGAAUAAUUGGUUACAUAUUUGUCUACAUGGUAAUCUAUUCGAAAUUUGGGUGUUAUUUGAAUAUUUAAUAUUAGAUAGGAUUUUGUUUGGACAAUAAGAGUUUCAAAGGCCUAUCUCUAAAAAAACCCUAGAAAUUAUUAUAUUACUUUAGUCUAAAGUAGGAGGGAAAUUGGCACUAUUCAUGUGAAUAGUGUUUUGGACCACAUUUCAGUUUAUUUACAAUAUUGCCACUCGAAUGCUUUUUCCCACCUUUCUCUUUAUUUACAAAAAAACCCCUCCGGCUUCAGGCCCAAUUUGUAGCCUUUGGGCUGCAUCUCAGGUUUGACUCGGGGAGAGAGAGGGGAUGGGGACAUAAGGGCUGACAAAUUGGAGAGAGGAGACAGCUGGGUGUGGCUGUGGCUGUGGCUGUGGCGAGAGGAGAGGAGGGGCACAGAGGGACUGACAGAUUGGAGAGAGAUGGGAGCUACGGGUGAUCUUGAUGCCGCGUGUUGAUAAUCGUGGAAAGGUAGGGGUGCGAUGGUCGCUUUAGUCUGUAGGGUUUCGAACGGAUUGGGUGGGUUAGGGAGACUUUCAUUUCCUUUCUUUCUGUGAGCUGCAGAGGAACUCGGUGAGACCGUGCCGUCAGGAGAGAGAGCAGGAGGGAGAGAGAGGGAUUUGGUGAGGGGAAGGCAUGCGGCUUGCAGAGAGGAGGAUGAGAGAGGGGGAGGGAGGGAGGAAGGAAGAGAGAGAGAUAGGGAUUUGGUGAGGGGAAGGCAUACCGCUUGUAGGUAGACAGAGUCACAGGGGUGUACCAUUCAAGGGAGAGAGAGAGAGAGAGGAGAUUGAGUGGUGGCAUCACUCUCACUACCUGCACUCCUGAGGCCGGCUACGAGAGAGAUGACAUAUGAGAGGAGAGAAAGAAAGAGAGAGAGAGCGCGCAGAGACAGGAAGGCCUGAGAUUGAGGACAAAUGCCAUGGUUGCACAGAAUGACUGAGAUUUGAAGCCCAUGACAGCCUCAGCUGAUUGAAAGGGUGAUAAGUCGUUUUCAAAUCUUUUGUGCUUUAGGAUUAGGUUUACAAACUCUAUUCAUAUCAUGCAGCUUCAGAUUCGAAAUAUGAGUUUUGCAUAGUAAAGGCCUUCAUUCAAAUAUGAGUUUUGCAUAGCACUAUAAACAUUAUAUGUAGUUAAAGAAUUGCUAUUUUGAUUGGUAGCUCUAUUGAUUUUUGUUAAGUUGAUUUGAAUUUAUACCGAAUUUACUUAAUUUUUAGUACAAUUAUUUGCUUUCUGGUUUUUAAUUUAAAGACUAGGAGUUUGAAUGGUGUAGUGGAGGUUGAAGUUGUUUCCCACAUUUUUGUUAUGAAUUCUCAAUGUUUGAUGAAUUCGGGAAAUCAAUUUUGUUAUCUCUUAUGCAGUUAUGAUCGUAUGAGUUGGAAUUUAGAUUUUCACACACAUGUAAACUGAAAAAAUAAAAUAGAUUUCGUAAUUUGAAGUUAGCUGACCCCACAUGAUGGGAAAAGGCUUAAGAAGAAGAAGUUAGCUCUAAACUAUAGAAGCAUGGAAGUUUAUGUGGACCUUAGAUUGUUUUGAAAAAUAAUUGAUUGAUUCAAGAAAGCAAAGACCUUGGAACCUUAACUGUCUCAUUGUAAUCCUUCACCAAGUUCUGGUAAUUUAUGUUCUAUUUUUUCUGUCAUCUGAAACUGAAUUGCAUUUGGGUGUUUGUCUUUGAUGCUAUUUUUUGGAUGUAGGUAACUAGAUUCUUAUUCUCUAGGAAUUGUAAUCGUUUGUUCAAUCUCAAUAUUUUACCAAUAUUCUCACGAUGUCCUUUGUUUUUAAUCUAUAAUUUAUUUUGUCCAAUUCAUGAAAUUUCCUUCUUUUUUUUUGACGAUUUAAAUAAAUAAGAGCAAUUUAAUUAUCCGGUUUGGAGGGUUUUGAUCUAAUUGCAGUAUUUAUCUGUUAUCUGUAGGUUUGUGAACGUCUGUGAAUAACAGUUGAUGAAAAAGUUGCAGUUUCGGAAAUGACUGUCAGCAAUCAAGAUGUGAAAAAGAAGGUUCCUUGUUCUUAUUUUUGUUCCCAAGUUCUUCUUCUUUUCUAUUUUGUGGAUAAAAAAAAAGGAUCUUUCGGCAAACAGAAUGGUGUUUUUUUUAUCAGAUUUUGGUAAUUAAUUGGAUUUUGUGUUUACCUUUUCGUUUCAGUCUUUUAUUCAUAAAAUCUUCACCACAAAGGAGAAAGAAGGAAGCGGCUCUUCGGAUUUCUCAGGUGAGUCUCUAAUGGUUGACUGCAACUGAAUAUCCUUCUUCCUUUCUUCUUUAUUUGAAACAGUGAUAACUCAGUCAACUAUGAGUAGAUGUAUAGCGGCCUGCUUCACUGCUCACUUGGUAAAGUUUUUUGGUCACAUAAAGGUGCUGGAGUUGGGAACUUUUUGGAUCUUAAAUCAUUGGUUGCCUAACAUUCUCUAUAUCGAAAGGCAUCAUUUUUGUUACCACAUUUUAUAUAUUUUAGACAAUGAACUUGAGUGCAGUGGACUAUGAGUCAGUGAACAGGGAGUUACUAAUUUUGUUGUAUGAGAUUUGGUUAAAUGUCUAAUACACAUAAUUGCUGAGGUUUGUUUACAUUGGUGGUAAAUUCUUGCUUUCUUUUCAAUUUUGUUUUAUUAUAAUUCGUCUUGGUUUAUGGAUCUUGCAGUGCUUACGUGAAAUGGCUAUAUUUCAAUGUUUGUGAGAUGUCGAAUUGUGUGUUUGUGGCUUAGUGAGAGUUCUGUUUAGAUUGUGUAGAAAAUGUGGGCUUCGAAGUGUAACCCAAUUAGCAAUUUGGAGUGAUUGAGGAGAAGUAUUCUGAGCUGCAGUAGGACUCGGUGAGACCAUGCCGACAGGAGAGAGCGAGCGAGCAGAGAGAGAAGAGGGAGGGAGGGAGGGAGAGAGAUUGGGAUUUGGUGAGAGGAAGAGAAAUGAGGGCUGUGACUUUUGACUCGGGGAGAGAUGACUGUGCUUGUUGCUUCGGUCAGAGCAUUGUUGGGGGAGGAGGACAGAGGGACUGACAGAUUGGAGAGAGAUGGGAGGUAGGGGUUUUGACUCAGUGAGAUUGUGAGGGAGAGGGGGAUGGCAGAGACAGAUGAGAGGGAGCUGGGCGUUGGAAUUGCAGAGAGAGAAAGAGAACUCAGAAGAUAAUUGUUUUGUUGAGAGCUGACAAGAAAAGGGGAGAAACAACGGCAAAGUGACAGAAUCUGAGAAUCUGAAGAAAAAAUGAUUAGUGGGGUUUUAGCUUCUGGCACUUUCUUCCCUGCUUUCUAAACAGAUUUUUCUCAACACACCCCUUCGAGCUCUGGAAGUGUUUGCUCAAAUUGGAGCUCAAAAGCGUCAUAUUUUAUGGAACAAAUGGUCUCAAAGAAGCAGAUUACACUGCGCAGUAGCAGCGCAGGACCCGGUGGGCCUGGGUUUGGUAUUGUUCAUACCUCUGUUUCUUCAAUUUUUUUAAUUUCUUUUAUAUGCAAUUUCUGUGCUUGCUGUUGAAAUGAAUAUGGUGGUGGAAACUGUUGUUUUAUAUGAAUUGGGUUUUUCACUACAUUAAUAAAGAUCAAAUCUUUGUGGUUCUUUGUUGUUUAUCUCAACCUUGCUUCGCCCGCAGCCGCUUGAAGAUGACGUGGUCCUUAUCGUCGGUCACUUCCGCGACAGUUCUGAACAAAGGAUUCGGUUCCCAAGCUCCGACGAUUGUGUCUGUGGCAAAGAGAAUUUAGGAAGAGUGGAAGAUCCAAGAAGGUUUUGCUAGGCGAGUUCUUUUGUUUUUUAUUUUGAAUUUCCUUUAAAUAACUGUUUUGAAUUAAUGAUAAUGAAGUUUUCCCAUACUUAGGGCUGAUUUGGUAUUGCUGUGCUUUUAAAAAAAAUUAAUGUGAGAAUAAACGGCUGUGAAAUAAAUCAGCAGAGCGUUUGGUAAACUUUUUUUUAAAAGUGCUUUUGGAAAAAAAAAAGUCUGAUAGUGGGUCUUUUCAUUAAAUGAGCACUGUAGUUCUGUGUGCUUUGAAAAAAAGCCAGUUUUCCAAAGCUGCAAAUAGCAGCUUCAACUUUUUCCUUUGAUUUCAGCUUAUUCUCACAGCAGCUUCCAAAAUAAGUUUUUUUUUUUGUUUACCAAACACCUAAAACUCUCAUAGCUUUUUUUCAUGGGUGUUUUUUUUUAAGCACCUCACUCCCAAACCAUCCCUUAGCCUAUUCAUUUUUAUCAAAUAUUUUGCACCAACUAUUUCAUGAUGCUGACUGAUGUAAUUAAUUUGGUUUUGUACUGAAAGUUGGAGUUGAGAAUCUAUGGAAUAUAAUUGUUGGAUUGGUGUUUGUACUAUAGAAACUUAGGUGUGCUUACCCCCUUUUCAUAGUCAUCCACAGUUACGAUAUUUCUUAGAGCUUAUGAGACGCCGUUCAAGUCGGACCACUGGUGAAUGCCUAAACUUUUGUGCUUAAAUGGAUUCAUCAACUCAAUAUUGUCGUUAAUUUUUGUUGAGUCCAUUUUCCCUGCAGCUGUUCUCUUAGGAUUUUAAGCUUAGUCGUUCAGGCAUGACACAUUUUCAGUGGGAAGUCAUAAGCAUAAUUCUUUUUUUUUUAAAUUAGACUCAAAGAUUUUUAUGUGCAUUAUUCUUCCGUUUUAUGAAUUUAAUUGGCUGCCUUAAUGAUGUUGUUGAUGAAUCUUCACGAAAGUCCGUUUUUCUUUUAAUCAUUGACUAUUUUUGUUUUCUAGUAUUAGCUAAUCCAGAUUGGAUGAAACUCUGUAAGUUGACUAUAUAUUAGUAUGCGUUCAAAUUCUGGAUAUCAAAAUACAAUUGUCUCCAGUAAUACUAAAUUUCGUUAUCGUUAUGGUGUAUAGAUCAAGUGGAUUAAUUAUAGCUACGUGGGGUGCUUCAGAGUGUAAGGGCUGGUUUGGUAUUGCUGUGCUUUGAGAAAAAACUGCUGUGAGAAUAAGCGGUUGUGCUGUAAGAAUAAGCGGUUGUGAAAUAAAUCAGCAGAGUGUUUGGUAAACAUUUUCGUAAAAGUGAUUUUGGAAAAAAAAGCAGUCUGAUAGUGGGUCUUUUCAUUAAAGGAGCAUUGUAGCUUCGUGUGUUUUGAAAAAAAAGUCAUUUUUCCAAAGCUGCAAAUAACAGCUUCAGCUUUUUCCUUUGAUUUCAGCUUAUUCUCACAGCAGCUUCCAAAAUAAGCAUUUUUUUUUAGUUUAUAAAACACCUAAAACCCUCACAGCUUUUUUUCAUGUGUACUUUUUUUAAGUACCUCACUUCCGAACCAUUCAUAAGGCAUGUGGAUAACUUUUCAGUGGUUGAAUGGUGUUCUUCAAAAUGUUUUGAUUAAUUUUCUUGAAGUUCAGUUGCUAGCUAGUUUUUUUUUUUUUAGGGAUGAUAGUGUUCUCAUUCCCUUACUCUUAUUAAAAUAAAAACAGAAAUACAAACAAUGGUGCGGAUGCAAAUUUCUGCCUUCUUCUUGGACGAAAAUGCACCUGCAAAACAAUUGACACCUUAGGUUAAGGCCAAGAGCGUCAUGCGCCCAUGAUGAAUGGGGGGCUUUGGUCAAAGAACCUCCGAUGCCAAAGUUAGAAUUUGAGGGAAAACGUAUUUGGAGAAAUUUGGAGAAUUUCAGAAGAGAAUUAGAUUUAGGUUGUUUGAGAAAAUGAGGGGCUAUAUAUAGGGGUGUGGCCGGCCUUAUUAGGAAAUUUGGGAUCAGACACAUAUGGUUGAUUUGUGGGAUUGAUUGCAAGAUAUUAUGUGAAAUAAUAUCUUGCAAUUAAUUUGGUAAUUAAUCAAUUAAUCCCAAUUUGAAAAGAAUAAUUGAGAGUUACCUUGUGGGCAAUGAUUUGAUGAGAAGUGAUGAGAGAGUUUUAAAAGAAUAUCAUUUUGAUCACCUUUGAGCUCGAUUGAGUUAUUAUUGUUUGUUACAUGUGUGAGAAUCCUGGUGUGCCUUAAGGGUAAUUUUAUCUUUUUAACUCAAAAGCUCAUGUGUCGCCUCCAUAUUUUUCUUGAUUAUUUUUUGUUCCACAAAGGGCAAUACAAAGCCAAGCCUUCUUGAGGAAAAAAAAAAACGUAAAACCAAAAAUCAACCCCACAUACAAAGAAAACAUAUGAUGAAAAUCAUUUGAAACGAGGGAUGGUAGAAGCAGAAAGAUCAUGAAUAUAAGCAAAAAUUUCACAUGAAAGAACGUUCACCAUAAGUAAUGUGCAUCAUGAUUUGCACGAAAGUUAGCUACAUGCAGUUGCUAGCUAGUACAGUAGUAGCUAUAUCACUCAACUUUUAUUUUAUGUUUUUAUUAUUUAUUAGCUGUACCAACAGUUAUAUGAAUUUGAAACAUUUGUCAACAUUAAGACAGAGUAUUUAGAGUUAAUGAAGAAUUUGGUACAAAACCGAGUGUAAUGAUGUUCUAAGAUUUAUACAGUUAAUAAGACUUUACUGUUUUUGUUUGUUGUAAGAAAAAGACUAUUAUUAAAUCAAGUGCUUGUUUAAUAGCAAAAAUAUUAGAGACUACUGAAAGAACAAAAAGAGUAUAUACACUUGUCUUGUCACUGUCAUAUUCUUGUGGAGUUCAUGUGCGAUAUUAAUUUAUAAGUACAACAUUGGUUGUAACUUGUAACUAAUUUGAUCAUAAUGGAAAACCUAACUUAUUUAGUUCCCUCUUCAGAUCUGACUUAUAAAUAAUAAAUAAAAAAGAAAACUAGUGAAAAAGGUUUGAAAUUUUUUAAUUUUAACGUUAAGGACAAAAUAAAUGGUAAAAUGAAUAGUACUAGAAUUGACUUUUUAAUGUAAAAAUGUGGUUUUUCGUUAAAGUGAAUAGUACCGAAAACUUUUCGCUAAAAAAAAAAAAAGAAGAAAUGUACGAUCUCAUGUAAUUGGUACCGGGUAGGCAUGCGUGGACCUGUAAUACAAGUCAAGAAAAAUAUUAAAGGGGAUCCUAUCUUCUAUAAGUAGCAUGGUAAUCGAUAAAUAGUUCUACCUUCGCUGUUUCAUUGGGUUUCCAUCCCAAAAACUUAAAACUUCUAUCACACAAUAUUCUCUCAAAAAUGCCGCCGGUAAGCCUUUUCAUAUAUAUAUAUAUAUAUAUUCUACUACUCUUGCAUCUUGUUGCAGUUAUAUACAUUUUAUACAUUUUUUCUUUUAAUCCAACUGAAACUAAUUAAUAAGGCGAGAAGGUUUUCUUAAAUUAGCUGACAUUAAUUAAAUGUAUAAAUUGAUCAUAUUGUUUACACAUCUUUUGUACAAAUUGAUGGUGCAGCAAAUGAAGAUCGUUGUGAAGGUGCCAAUGCACUGUGACAAAUGCAGAAGAAAGGCCUUGAAGAUUGCAGCUCGUGCACAGGGUAUGUGCCUUAUGAUAUUAUCAUGAUUCAAAUUUUCUUUCAACGAUUUCAUUGUUAAUUAUAGUUGGCAUGGUUAUUAAAGAGUAUCAUAAUUAAUGAAAGCAGGUGUUAGUAAAGUGUCGAUAGAAGGAGAAAACAAAGAUCUUGUGGAGGUGAUCGGGGAUGAUGUAGACUCGGUUUGCUUGACGAGGUCAUUGAGGAAAAAGCUCGGCUGUUCCUGCACCAUAGUCAAAGUUGAAGAAGUGAAGCCGGCAGUUAAAACUGAGGAAAAGUCAACUCCAGCUCCUUCAGCAAGCUGUGUUCAAUACUGUUGCACUCCCCAGUUUCGUCCAAUGUACUGUGAACUGGUUCAUGAAUAUCCAGAACCAACCACUUGCUCCAUAAUGUAAUUGCGUAUGACAUGAAUUAGUUGAACUUGAUUAUGAUCAUUUUC
rnacentral:lncRNA from 1 species